rnacentral:piRNA from 1 species
UAGACACUGAGAUUUAAGUGGGGCAUGGU